ACAUUUUAUAUUUACUUUUUGUUAAAAAAAUUUACUUAGAUAUAUUUUAGCCCACGUGCUAUUGAUGGCCCACGGGCCGCGUACUAGCCCACCAAUGAACCGUGCUUAUUACGUGCUUUUUCGCGUGCCGUGCUUUAAGGCCCGCGUGCCUAAAAUUCAAGGCACGGCACGGCCCACGUGCGCGUCGUGCCGUGCCUCGUGCCUCACCGAAACGUGCUCGUGCCGUGCCGUGCCGUGCCACGUGCCGCCCGGCCCAUUGGCCAUCUUUAAUGUGAACCACACAAAUUGUGGGAAUAUUCUUUCUAAUUCAUGUACAUCUAUCAAGGAGAGAUUAGCGUUCUACGUACACGUCACUUUCAAAGCGCUCCAAUCAAAUAAAGGCAAAAUUAAAGAAAGCACUUAAACUCUACUUUUGAUCACAAAGCACAACUAGGUUUCACAUGCAUCUGCUUAUUAAUUAAUUGGGAGCCUCUAAGUUACAAUAAUUGUAACAUUGGCCAUCUUUAAUGUGAACCACACAAAUUGUGGGAAUAUUCUUUCUAAUUCAUGUACAUCUAUCAAGGAGAGAUUAGCGUUCUACGUACACGUCACUUUCAAAGCGCUCCAAUCAAAUAAAGGCAAAAUUAAAGAAAGCACUUAAACACUACUUUUGAUCAGAAAGCACUAUUGGGUUUCACAUGCAUCUGCUUAUUAAUUAAUUGAGAGCCUCUAAGUUACAAUAAUAGUAACAAACAUCCCUCAUGUGAACCACACAAAUUGUGGGAAUCUUCUUUCUAAUUCUUGUACAUCUAUCAAGGAGAGAUUAGUGUUCUACGUACACGUCACUUUCAAAGCGCUCCAAUCAAAUAAAGGCAAAAUUAAAGAAAGCAUUUAAACACUACUUUUGAUCAGAAAGCACUACUGGGUUUCACAUGCAUCUCCUUAUUAAUUAAUUGAGAGCCUCUAAGUUACAAUAAUUGUAACAUACAUCCCUCAUGUGAACUACACAAAUUGUGGGAAUCUUCUUUCUAAUUUAUAAUUUUAUUUAUUAAAAUCAUGAUAUUUACUUAUUCAUUUAAUAAAUUAUAAACAUAAAAAUUAGAAUAUUUAUUUAAACUAAGAUUUAAUGAUUUAAAUUAAUUUUUAAAAGUCUAUGCUAAAAAAUAUAUUAAAACAUUUAAUUUCAAGAUAUUUUACUUUAAUUUCAUAACAUUUUAUAUUUACUUUUUGUUAAAAAAAUUUACUUAGAUAUAUUUUAGCCCACGUGCUAUUGAUGGCCCACGGGCCGCGUACUAGCCCACUAAUAAACCGUGCUUAUUACGUGCUUUUUCGCGUGCCGUGCUUUAAGGCCCGCGUGCCUAAAAUUCAAGGCACGGCACGGCCCACGUGCGUGUCGUGCCGUGCCUCGUGCCUCACCGAAACGUGCUCGUGCCGUGCCGUGCCGUGCCACGUGCCGCCCGGCCCAUUGGCCAUCUUUAAUGUGAACCACACAAAUUGUGGGAAUAUUCUUUCUAAUUCAUGUACAUCUAUCAAGGAGAGAUUAGCGUUCUACGUACACGUCACUUUCAAAGCGCUCCAAUCAAAUAAAGGCAAAAUUAAAGAAAGCACUUAAACACUACUUUUGAUCAGAAAGCACUACUAGGUUUCACAUGCAUCUGCUUAUUAAUUAAUUGGGAGCCUCUAAGUUACAAUAUUUGUAACAUACAUCCCUCAUGUGAACCACACAAAUUGUAGGAAUCUUCUUUCUAAUUCUUGUACAUCUAUCAAGGAGAGAUUAGCGUUCUACGUACACGUCACUUUCAAAGCGCUCCAAUCAAAUAAAGGCAAAAUUAAAGAAAGCACUUAAACACUACUUUUGAUCAGAAAGCACUAUUGGGUUUCCCAUGCAUCUGCUUAUUAAUUAAUUGAGAGCCUCUAAGUUACAAUAAUAGUAACAAACAUCCCUCAUGUGAACUACACAAAUUGUGGGAAUCUUCUUUCUAAUUCAUGUACAUCUAUCAAGGAGAGAUUAGCGUUCUACGUACACGUCACUUUCAAAGCGCUCCAAUCAAAUAAAGGCAAAAUUAAAGAAAGCACUUAAACACUACUUUUGAUCAGAAAGCACUACUGGGUUUCACAUGCAUCUGCUUAUUAAUUAAUUGGGAGCCUCUAAGUUACAAUAAUUGUAACAUACAUCCCUCAUGUGAACUACACAAAUUGUAGGAAUCUUCUUUCUAAUUCAUGUACAUCUAUCAAGGAGAGAUUAGUGGUCUACGUACACGUCACUUGCAAAGCGCUCCAAUCAAAUAAAGGAAAAAUUAAAGAAAGCACUUAAACACUACUUUUGAUCAGAAAGCACUACUGGGUUUCACAUGCAUCUGCUUAUUAAUUAAUUGAGAGCCUCUAAGUUAUAAUAAUUGUAACAUACAUCCCUCAUGUGAACUACACAAAUUGUGGGAAUCUUCUUUCUAAUUUAUAAUUUUAUUUAUUAAAAUCAUGAUAUUUACUUAUUCAUUUAAUAAAUUAUAAACAUAAAAAUUAGAAUAUUUAUUUAAACUAAGAUUUAAUGAUUUAAAUUAAUUUUUAAAAGUCUAUGCUAAAAAAUAUAUUAAAACAUUUAAUUUCAAGAUAUUUUACUUUAAUUUCAUAACAUUUUAUAUUUACUUUUUGUUAAAAAAAUUUACUUAGAUAUAUUUUAGCCCACGUGCUAUUGAUGGCCCACGGGCCGCGUACUAGCCCACUAAUAAACCGUGCUUAUUACGUGCUUUUUCGCGUGCCGUGCUUUAAGGCCCGCGUGCCUAAAAUUCAAGGCACGGCACGGCCCACGUGCGUGUCGUGCCGUGCCUCGUGCCUCACCGAAACGUGCUCGUGCCGUGCCGUGCCGUGCCACGUGCCGCCCGGCCCAUUGGCCAUCUUUAAUGUGAACCACACAAAUUGUGGGAAUAUUCUUUCUAAUUCAUGUACAUCUAUCAAGGAGAGAUUAGCGUUCUACGUACACGUCACUUUCAAAGCGCUCCAAUCAAAUAAAGGCAAAAUUAAAGAAAGCACUUAAACACUACUUUUGAUCAGAAAGCACUAUUGGGUUUCACAUGCAUCUGCUUAUUAAUUAAUUGAGAGCCUCUAAGUUACAAUAAUAGUAACAAACAUCCCUCAUGUGAACCACACAAAUUGUGGGAAUCUUCUUUCUAAUUCUUGUACAUCUAUCAAGGAGAGAUUAGUGUUCUACGUACACGUCACUUUCAAAGCGCUCCAAUCAAAUAAAGGCAAAAUUAAAGAAAGCAUUUAAACACUACUUUUGAUCAGAAAGCACUACUGGGUUUCACAUGCAUCUCCUUAUUAAUUAAUUGAGAGCCUCUAAGUUACAAUAAUUGUAACAUACAUCCCUCAUGUGAACUACACAAAUUGUGGGAAUCUUCUUUCUAAUUUAUAAUUUUAUUUAUUAAAAUCAUGAUAUUUACUUAUUCAUUUAAUAAAUUAUAAACAUAAAAAUUAGAAUAUUUAUUUAAACUAAGAUUUAAUGAUUUAAAUUAAUUUUUAAAAGUCUAUGCUAAAAAAUAUAUUAAAACAUUUAAUUUCAAGAUAUUUUACUUUAAUUUCAUAACAUUUUAUAUUUACUUUUUGUUAAAAAAAUUUACUUAGAUAUAUUUUAGCCCACGUGCUAUUGAUGGCCCACGGGCCGCGUACUAGCCCACCAAUGAACCGUGCUUAUUACGUGCUUUUUCGCGUGCCGUGCUUUAAGGCCCGCGUGCCUAAAAUUCAAGGCACGGCACGGCCCACGUGCGUGUCGUGCCGUGCCUCGUGCCUCACCGAAACGUGCUCGUGCCGUGCCGUGCCGUGCCACGUGCCGCCCGGCCCAUUGGCCAUCUUUAAUGUGAACCACACAAAUUGUGGGAAUCUUCUUUCUAAUUCAUGUACAUCUAUCAAGGAGAGAUUAGCGUUCUACGUACACGUCACUUUCAAAGCGCUCCAAGCAAAUUAAGGCAAAAUUAAAGAAAGCACUUAAACACUACUUUUGAUCACAAAGCUCAACUAGGUUUCACAUGCAUCUGCUUAUUAAUUAAUUGGGAGCCUCUAAGUUACAAUAAUUGUAACAUACAUCCCUCAUGUGAACCACACAAAUUGUAGGAAUCUUCUUUCUAAUUCUUGUACAUCUAUCAAGGAGAGAUUAGCGUUCUACGUACACGUCACUUUCAAAGCGCUCCAAUCAAAUAAAGGCAAAAUUACAGAAAGCACUUAAACACUACUUUUGAUCAGAAAGCACUAUUGGGUUUCCCAUGCAUCUGCUUAUUAAUUAAUUGAGAGCCUCUAAGUUACAAUAAUAGUAACAAACAUCCCUCAUGUGAACUACACAAAUUGUGGGAAUCUUCUUUCUAAUUCAUGUACAUCUAUCAAGGAGAGAUUAGCGUUUUACGUACACGUCACUUUCAAAGCGCUCCAAUCAAAUAAAGGCAAAAUUAAAGAAAGCACUUAAACACUACUUUUGAUCAGAAAGCACUACUGGGUUUCACAUGCAUCUGCUUAUUAAUUAAUUGGGAGCCUCUAAGUUACAAUAAUUGUAACAUACAUCCCUCAUGUGAACCACACAAAUUGUGGGAAUCUUCUUUCUAAUUCUUGUACAUCUAUCAAGGAGAGAUUAGUGUUCUACGUACACGUCACUUUCAAAGCGCUCCAAUCAAAUAAAGUCAAAAUUAAAGAAAGCAUUUAAACACUACUUUUGAUCAGAAAGCACUACUGGGUUUCACAUGCAUCUACUUAUUAAUUAAUUGAGAGCCUCUAAGUUAUAAUAAUUGUAACAUACAUCCCUCAUGUGAACUACACAAAUUGUGGGAAUCUUCUUUCUAAUUUAUAAUUUUAUUUAUUAAAAUCAUGAUAUUUACUUAUUCAUUUAAUAAAUUAUAA
rnacentral:lncRNA from 1 species